AUGAUUGUGAGCAACAAUGAGAGUGGUGCAUCUGGGUACGGUAAUUUAUUUGAUGUAUUUUCAGUUUGGUCGUCCACCGAUUGGUGGGUCGACACAGGUGCAGGUGUUCAUGUGUGUGCUGACAUUUCAUUGUUUUCUUCUUACCAGGCCACAGGUCACGGGUCCGUACUGAUGGGGAAUGGCGCGAGUGCUUCUGUUCUUGGUGUUGGCACGGUCGAUCUGAAGUUUACUUUGGGAAGGAUCGUGCAGCUGAAGAACAUGCAGCAUGUCCCCGCCAUCAAGAAGAACCUCGUUAGUGGCUCCCUUCUAUGUAGAGAAGGGUUUAAUUUGGUAUUCGAGUCUAAUAAAUUAGUUGUUACGAAAUAUGGACUAUCUGUUGGAAAGGGUUAUGAAUACGGAGGCAUGUUCCGCCUUUCUCUUGCAGAU
rnacentral:rRNA from 1 species